CGCAGUAUUCGCCGUAUAUCAAGUCUAUAUGGCCAGGUGCCUCACGACUCAUAAUCGUGAGGUCGCGGGUUCAAGCCCCGCUCCUGCUA
rnacentral:tRNA from 5 species